UACGGGGGGGGCAAGCGUUGUUCGGAAUUACUGGGCGUAAAGGGCUCGUAGGCGGCCAACUAAGUCAGACGUGAAAUCCCUCGGCUUAACCGGGGAACUGCGUCUGAUACUGGAUGGCUAGAGUGUGGGAGAGGGAUGCGGAAUUCCACGUGUAGCAGUGAAAUGCGUAGAUAUGUGGAGGAACACCGAUGGCGAAGGCAGCCCCCUGGGUCAAAACUGACGCUCAUGCACGAAAGCGUGUGAGCAAACAGG
rnacentral:rRNA from 1 species